UACGUAGGCAGCGAGCGUUGUUCGGAAUUACUGGGCGUAAAGAGUGUGUAGGCGGUGCUCUAAGUUCGGUGUGAAAUCUCCUGGCUCAACUGGGAGGGUGCGCCGGAAACUGGAGUGCCUGAGCGUGGGAGAGGAAAGCGGAAUUCCUGGUGUAGCGGUGAAAUGCGUAGAUAUCAGGAGGAACACCUGUGGUGUAGACGGCUUUCUGGACCAUAGCUGACGCUGAGACACGAAAGCGUGGGUAGCAAACAGG
rnacentral:rRNA from 1 species